UAGUUGACUACCAACUGCACUUCAAACAACACUACCAAUAUGAAAUUCUUGAUUGCUUUCGCCGCCGUUUUGGCCGUUGCCGCCGCUGUGUAUGUCCCAUACACUACUGGUGUAGCCACCUACAC